UGGGGCGGUCUCCUCCUAAAGAGUAACGGAGGAGCACGAAGGUUGGCUAAUCCUGGUCGGACAUCAGGAGGUUAGUGCAAUGGCAUAAGCCAGCUUGACUGCGAGCGUGACGGCGCGAGCAGGUGCGAAAGCAGGUCAUAGUGAUCCGGUGGUUCUGAAUGGAAGGACCAUCGCUCAACGGAUAAAAGGUACUCCGGGGAUAACAGGCUGAUACCGCCCAAGAGUUCAUAUCGACGGCGGUGUUUGGCACCUCGAUGUCGGCUCAUCACAUCCUGGGGCUGAAGUAGGUCCCAAGGGUAUGGCUGUUCGCCAUUUAAAGUGGUACGCGAGCUGGGUUUAGAACGUCGUGAGACAGUUCGGUCCCUAUCUGCCGUGGGCGCUGGAGAACUGAGGGGGGCUGCUCCUAGUACGAGAGGACCGGAGUGGACGCAUCACUGGUGUUCGGGUUGUCAUGCCAAUGGCACUGCCCGGUAGCUAAAUGCGGAAGAGAUAAGUGCUGAAAGCAUCUAAGCACGAAACUUGCCCCGAGAUGAGUUCUCCCUGACCCUUUAAGGUCCUGAAGGAACGUUGAAGACGACGACGUUGAUAGGCCGGGUGUGUAAGCGCAGCGAUGCGUUGAGCUAACCGGUACUAAUGAACCGUGAGGCUUAACCUUACAACGCCGAAGGUGUUU
rnacentral:rRNA from 1 species